rnacentral:rRNA from 1 species
GUGGGGAAUAUUGGACAAUGGGCGAAAGCCUGAUCCAGCCAUGCCGCGUGUGUGAAGAAGGUCUUCGGAUUGUAAAGCACUUUAAGUUGGGAGGAAGGGCAGUAAGUUAAUACCUUGCUGUUUUGACGUUACCGACAGAAUAAGCACCGGCUAACUUCGUGCCAGCAGCCGCGGUAAUACGAAGGGUGCAAGCGUUAAUCGGAAUUACUGGGCGUAAAGCGCGCGUAGGUGGUUUUGUAAGUUGGAUGUGAAAUCCCCGGGCUCAACCUGGGAACUGCCUCCAAAACUGCAUGACUAGAGUACGGUAGAGGGUAGUGGAAUUUCCUGUGUAGCGGUGAAAUGCGUAGAUAUAGGAAGGAACACCAGUGGCGAAGGCGACUACCUGGACUGAUACUGACACUGAGGUGCGAAAGCGUGGGGAGCAAACAGGAUUAGAAACCCCGGUAGUCC